UGUGUGUGUGUGUGUGUGUGUGUGUGUGUGUGUGUGUGUGUGUGUGUGUGUGAGAGUGUGUGUGUGUCUCUGUGUGUGUGUGUGUGAGAGAAAGUCAUUAUGUCAUUAUUCCAUUAUCCCUAUUUAAAGCUUGUUUUCUUGCUUUUUUUACAAUGCAUUUUUCCAACUUGGCAUUUGUACAGAAUUAUUUAUACUUUGCUUUUAAAUUGUGGAAAUCGGUUACAGUUAUUUAUUUAACGUUAUGUUUCUGUUUUGUCCCAAUGCUUUAAAAAAAAAAAAAAGAAGAAGAAAUGUGUUAAAUAGAAAGCAUUGGCUGCACAAGGAAUCCACACUGAUUUCCUGCUGCAGCAGAGAGAGAGAGAGUGGGUUUACACAAACACAUCUAAUCAUCUAACCGCUCGUUCAGUCCCAAACCACUAACUUAUCAGCAGGUUCUGUUAUUGUUCAUUAUGUUUUACCAAACUUCAAUGGAUUUGUCCAUGAGGAUAUAUAUAUAUUUUUUUUUUGUACAUAAUUCUUAUCUCCGCCAUAUGAAUCUCUUUGAACGGCAAUAGCACUGCAUAUACAUAAGACUUCAUGACUUUGGAGCUGAGGGUUUCAUAUUCGCCCCGCGGCUUUACCGGAAACCCUCUUUGUUCUUUGACAUGCAUGGAUGUGGAAGAAGAUAAAUGCUUUUAACAUUUUGUACCAUCCCAUACGAAGCCUUUUUGUAUGUGUGUCUCAAAAGUAACAUUUGCAGGAUUGCUUUGUGUAAAUACAUCAGAACUUAAAAGAAAAACAAAAAAAAACAAAAAACACUAUAUGAAGAGUUGUUUGUGUUUAAGAAAAAAAAAUGUGUCUGUGCAAUUCAUGUACAAUUGCAGCUAGAACUAUUAAAGUUUUAUUUAGCUAUUUUAAUAUUCUACUUCUUGGCUCAUUUAUUUCCCUUCCCACAAUUUGUGCCUGUGUUAAAAGCUCUCUGCAUCUGUCACGUGGUAGUAGGCUUCAGCUUGUGCCUGUGUUAAAAGCUCUCUGCAUCUGUCACGUGGUAGUAGGCGCUUGGCUAACUGGCAGAUUUGCCAACCUAACCUGAUUUGCAUACUCCCUUAAGACUCUUCAAACGAUCUUGCCUGGAUUGAAAUCUAGUUAGUCGGGUUAGUGGC
ensembl:lncRNA